rnacentral:lncRNA from 1 species
CUCCAACCCGCCUAAUUUUUCCCGCCCUUUCCAGUGAGUUUAGCUCAUCGCUUCCAGAUUUGAGAUUUUAUCUUCUCUUCCCAGAUUUUCUCAUCUCACCCAUUUGUACACACUGACCAGUGACAUCGACGGCAGCUACUUCCCAACAAACUGGACCAUGAACCAUGGUGAUGACCGAUUUCGGUGACCUUGAAAACUUGUCUUCACCAACUUUUGUGUACCCCCCAAGUGAGCGACAAAUCUUUUUGUUGGUUUAAAUCUUGUUUUGUAAACUCUUAAUAUACUGUCAAAAUGCUUUUUAACCUUUUUGUAUUAUACUGAUUAAAUGUUGUUUCAUGCAUUUAACUCCAUUUUGACUUAUUCCAAGUUUAAUGCAUUUUGACUGAAUAAAUGUUGUUGUUUCGUAAACUCCUAAUAGACUUAUUAAAUGUUGGAUAUCAAUUUGUUCUUUAUAACCUUUUUGUAUUAUACUAUCAAGAUGGGAGAUUAAUGCACUUGGUAUGAUUUCUAAUUAGGGAGUAGAUUCAUUGUGGACGUUAUAAUGUGAUUAAUGUAUUACUCUUGAUGCAACCAAAAUUAGAUGCUUCAGGUCCAGCCAAAGAGAUGACCUUUACAUUAUAUUUUCAAUUGUUUUUUUGACUGGAAUCCAUUUAUGUUUUGCUCAACCUUGCCAUUUAUUGUGUAACUGUAGGAGGUUCAAUGGAAGAAGUACGCGAUGAAUUUUUGGUAGAGAGAGGUGUUGACGAGAAUGUUGUGGGCAAUGUGAUAUCAGUGGAGAAGUAAAUGGUAGGUAAAGAUGUUUCGAUGGUGCGUGAGGUGCCGGAGGUGGGCAUGAUAUUCAACAAUGAAAAAGAAUUGUGGGAUUUCUACAAAGGAUAUGCAUAUCAUGUAGGUUUUCCAGUUUUAAGAAGGAAUUCCAAAAAGGGAGACGAUGAGAAAAUUAAAUAUGUGACCUUAACAUGUAGCCGUGAAGGUCACAGAAGCACUGUUACAAGCGAUUCUUUGAAACCCCAACCAACAAUUCAAACAGAUUGUAAAGCUAGGAUCACUGCAUUUUCGAUGCUUUUGGAAUAUGGAGAAUUAACACAGUUCACCUCGACCACAACCACAAAAUAAGUCCUUCGAAGUCGAGUUGUAUCGUUGCAAUCGAGAGUUGAGUUCACAAGUAAAACGAAAGCUUGAAGUGAAUGAUAUGGCGGGGAUUCCUUUGCACAAAAGUUUCAACUUUGCAAUGGUUGAAGCGGGUGGAUAUUAAAGUAUGACUUGUAUAGAAAAUGAUUGUCGAAAUUAUAUUGAACAAAUAAAACGAUUAAGACUCGGUGAUGGAGAUGCCACAGCGAUACAGGCCUACUUUUCCAAGAUGCAAGCCCAGUGCUCGGAAUUCUACUUCAGUAUGGAUUUAGAUGAUGAGUAUAGGCUGAAAAAAAAAUUUUGGGCUGAUAAUAGGUCGAGGCAAGCAUACAAAGAUUUUGGUGAUGUUGUCACAUUUGACACCACUUAUCUAACUAAUAAGUACAAUAUACCGUUCGUCCCUUUUGUUGGGGUUAAUCAUCACGGACAAUCGACACUUUUUGGUUAUGGUUUGUUAUCGAAUGAGGACAGGGGUACUUUUGUAUGGCUAGUUAGGACAUGGCUACAGUGCAUGUAUGGAAAAGCUCCCCAUGAAAUUAUUAUCGAUCGGGAUAGGGCGAUGCAAAAUGCAGUUCAGAUUGUAUUUCCAAAUAUGAGGCAUAGAUGGUGCUUGUGACAUAUUUUGAAAAAGUUGUCAGAGAAGUUUGGAUACCACGUUGAUAAAGCUUCCAUUUUUUCGACUGUACAUGAAUUAGUGUAUGAUUGUGAAUUUGUUGACAAAUUUGAUACAGGUUGAAGAAUGAUGAUUGAUACGUAUGAGUUGCAUAGUAAUGAAUGGUUGUUGGGACUGUUUGAUGAUCGAGGUCGUUAGGUUCCCUGCUAUUUUAAAACAAGACGACCUUGAAGUAAUUUGUCGAACAAUAUGAAAGGGCACUGAGAAGUAAGGUUGAGAAGGAAUUCUAGGACGACUUUAAGUCAUUCUCACUAAUGGUAUUGUGUACGACGACUUUCGAAAUGGAGAAGCAGUAUCAGAAAUGUUAUACCAUCGAUAGGUUCAGGGAGUUCCAAGCCGAGCUCAUUGGGAAGGUUUAUUGUGAUCUCAUAUCUACUGCAGAAGGAACUUCGAGGAUGAUGUACGACCUACACGAGGUUAUCAUGUCUGAUGAUCGACAAAGGAUUAAGAAGUUUUUUUUAUCUCAUUUCAGAGAGACAUUUGUGAAAUUGCUUGUAGUUGCCACCUGUUUGAGUUCCGAGGUAGAAAUGUUGGCACGCUAUCGCUGUCCUAAUACGUAAUGACAUCACGUCAUUGCCAAAGAGAUAUAUACUACGGAGAUGGAGAAAAGAUAUUUGUAGAGCACACACCAGGGUUACAGUGCACUAUGAUGGGUUGGUUAGUACUCCUGAACAAUUAAGAUAUGUCGAUUUGUGUCGGUCUUUCGUAAAGGUUGCAAACCUCGAGGCUGAUGAUGAAGUGCGUUCUCAUGUGAUAAAAGAGUGGAUAAUUAAUCAAAAACAAGAAUUGAUGAUGAUAAAGUCAGAUUGCGGUAGUAACAUCAUUUCGCAACACACUAUUCAGUUAGCAUCGAAGUGUAAUGAAUUCGUGAAGGCGUGCAAGCUCCUAUAUCAUAGAAAAGAAAGGGUGAGCCGAAUAAGCUUUGGAGAAAAAGCCCGUUGGAGUCCUCUUCAAAGAAAUCAAAGGUGUGUUGUGAUAAUUUGUUUUCGCACCUUAGAUAAUAUUCCAGUGCACUUACUAUUUAAUUUUUGUGUAUGUUUAGGCAACAACGACGUCAACGAGAGGAAAGAGGUUAACAUCCAGGCACAGUAAUAGACCAUCUGUUGAGGCCGUUGGGCAAGCAACUCCCCAACAUUCUAUGCAAACACCGUUAAUGGCAACAAAUCUUGUAUUCAGUUCUCAAGGUUUAAUGCAUGUUUGAACUUGUAUGUUCGCAUUUCAUUAGUUUGUAUGUGUUCUUACAUUCACAUUGUAUGACAGGUCAUUCGAGUCCAUGCAAUCCACAUUUUGAGCAAGACGGUGACCUCCCCGACCUCUAAAGCAAGUGGAUUCCAAUUGUUUGUAAUGAUUUCAGCUUGCUAUUGUCUUUCUGACCGAAAGUAGCAUGGUGGUUAAUGUAUUUUGAAUACUUAUGGGAAUUGCUUAUUUGUAUCAAACUCGGUAUUCAUUAGUAUUUGCCAAGUAAUUCCCUGUUUUUGUUUUUAAUUGAACUAAAGUUGGUGUUUUCUUUCUUUUUCGAUUUGCCAGAGAUUUGUCUUUAUGCAUGUUUUGGGUUGGAAAAGAGGUGUUAACUUUGGUGGAAUGUAGCUUUAUCUUGAU